rnacentral:misc_RNA from 1 species
UCCCGUUUGCUACGGGCAGUCUCGCUAGAAAAGUACAACUAGCGACAAGGGUUGCGCUCGUUGCGGGACUUAACCCAACACCUCACGGCACGAGCUGACGACAGCCGUGCAUCACCUCGCAUGGUGCCCCGAAGGGAGACCGGCUUUCACCGGCUGUCACCACACGUUCAAGCCCAGGUAAGGUUCUUCGCGUUGCAUCGAAUUAAACCACACGCUCCGCUGCUUGUGCGGGCCCCCGUCAAUUCCUUUGAGUUUUAGCCUUGCGGCCGUACUCCCCAGGCGGCUCACUUAAUGCGUUAGCUUCGACGCGGAGGGGGUCGAUACCCCCCACAUCUAGUGAGCAUCGUUUACGGCGUGGACUAC